rnacentral:rRNA from 1 species
UACGGAGGGGGCUAGCGUUGUUCGGAAUUACUGGGCGUAAAGCGCACGUAGGCGGCUUUGUAAGUUAGAGGUGAAAGCCCGGGGCUCAACUCCGGAAUUGCCUUUAAGACUGCAUCGCUAGAAUUGUGGAGAGGUAAGUGGAAUUCCGAGUGUAGAGGUGAAAUUCGUAGAUAUUCGGAAGAACACCAGUGGCGAAGGCGGCGUCCUGGCCUGCGACUGACGCUGUGGCGCGAAAGCUAGGGGAGCGAACGGG